CGUGUUGUCCAAACAACGCUCCGCGUUCUUUUCUCUCUUCUCUCGCGAAACGGAAACGUCGCGUUCUCUCUCUCUCGACGACUCCGUCUUCUCUCUCGACGAAAUCGACGCCUCCUCGACGUCUCCUCGACGGCUCCGUGAUGAAUCGAUGAUGAUCUCUCCUCGUCUCUCUCCCUCUACUCGACGCUUCUUCGCCGAAAUCGACGAUUUUCGAUUCUGAAACUUGUUUCGGGAUCUCUCCCCGCCGGAUGAUUCUUGUGAUUUUAGGAGUGAAGAGAGUGGUUUGAUUCUGACCUUCGCCAAGCGCAGCUCAAACCCGACACAGUGCCCAAGCUCCGUGAAGCUUUACCUGCUCUGACCGACUAACUCAUCGGCGCGAUGAUGUCUCCUCUGUGGCGAUCGUAUGAUCCAAACCUCAUCCAAGAACCUACCGUCUACAGGUUGAAUGAAUCAGUGAUCCAUUUUGGUGAGAGUAUAAAGGAGAUUAUCAACGAAGAUUUCAGAGACGGCAUGUGAAAGAAAAAUCUAUUGAAGAUGUGCAGACCUUUCAACCGAGCGGAACACACUCGGAUCUUUCAAUUCAAAUACCGCCUAGACCAAUCCCAUUCGGUGGUGCCGGGCGUAUCCCAAAAGGUUCUCUGAAACAAGCGCAGGUACAUGUUUCUAACAGAUGUUAACCAAACAGAUACAGACCUGUGAGAAAACUUGAGGUCCGCAUAAUAAUUGUAUGAGUAAUAGAUUGAGUCAUGUGCACUGUUUUUGGUGUAAAGCAUGUCAACGUUUAAUCA